AUGUUGUUUACCCGCUGCCAAUGGAUAUAUGUACAUGUUUGAUACUUUACCGACUUUUACCCAUAUCAGAUCUUUUUGUGACCAUUACCGUUUGUGUCCUGAGAAGGUGUACCAAUGACGAGCGGAUUCAAUAUCUUCCGAAUAUCAACCUGCAAAUGGAAUGUCGUUAUAAACCGUAAACGCGCGCGCAGUAGAGAUGGGCGUUAUAAUAUAUUUCCAUAUUUUAUCAGACUUAUUUUAUCAUUGUAAUCGUUGAUGUCUAUGGUUUCUUAUAUUUUACAGGACUUCUUACAUCAGAAAAUCUUACAGAUUUUCUUUACAUUGCACGUACGUGGAAUGUAACGUACAAUGUAAAUAUACGGAGUCUUGUAAAUUUAUUAUUGAAUAAACAUAUAGAGGGUAUUGUGUAUAUAUACAUGCGGAUGAUAUAAUUACUAAUAAAUUAAAUCAAAUAAUCGUAAUAGUGAGGCAAUCGUUCAGUAAGAUAUAAAUCUACCUACAUUUAACAUCAACGAAUUUUCAUUGCAAAUGUGCUUAUAAAUUAGAAUGUAUUGUGUAUUUGGCAUGUAGAUACGCUCUAUACAUGUUCCAGAAUAUUUAAUAUGGAAUGUUUUAUUUAUUAUACAUACAUAUUACAUAGUUUAUCUAAGUGCAUUUUACAUUAGGAUAUUCAGACACUGGAAAAAAAGAAUUUUAUAUAAUCAAGUGAAUAGAUUGCUUUAAAAGAGCGUACAUGUGCAUAUAAGGGCCAGCAAUCCUGAAGUUUCCUACCGGAAGAUAACAAAGAUUACGAUAUUACAAGGAUUUAUGAUAUUAAUAAGGCAACUAUAUAAUUUCGAUUUUUCUCCGGAAGAUUUACAAACAGAUAAACGAAAUGUGCAAAAUUCAAAAAAUUUGAUAUAUACAAUAACCCCACGCAAUAUACACGUUUCAAGGAUGAUUUAAAGACGUUCAAAGAACAUCCUAUCUUUUUGGACGUCUUUGAAACAUGCGUAUUAUGUGAGAAUAAAUCAGUAAAAUCCCUGUGCAGAACAUAUAUCAUAAAUAAUCUAUUGUUAAUGACAAAAUAAGACAAAUAUUAAUAAAUAUAAUUGAUAAUAAACGAAUACAAGUAAAUUAUUGAGAUUAUAAUCUACACAAUAGGAACAGCUAGAUUUCAUAUCUUUUAUUGCUGGAUUGUGUCAUUAUAUUUAGAUUAACAUGUAUAUUGCUUGAUCUAUCGAACGGUCAUAUUACGCAGCAAUUCGUCACAUCGGU